rnacentral:rRNA from 1 species
UUCGGGUGAGGCUAGCGUUGUUCGGAAUCACUGGGCUUAAAGCGCGUGUAGGCGGCUUGGUAAGUACUUUGUGAAAUCUUUUUUCUCAAUGAAGGAACCGCUGGGUAUACUGCCGGGCUAGAGGCAGGUAGGGGUCACUGGAACUCUAGGUGGAGCGGUGAAAUGCGUAGAUAUCUAGAGGAACGCCCGUGGCGAAAGCGGGUGACUGGGCCUGUCCUGACGCUGAGACGCGAAAGCGUGGGUAGCAAACGGG